rnacentral:rRNA from 1 species
UACGAAGGGGGCUAGCGUUGCUCGGAAUCACUGGGCGUAAAGCGCACGUAGGCGGCUUUUUAAGUCAGGGGUGAAAUCCUGGAGCUCAACUCCAGAACUGCCUUUGAUACUGGAGAGCUCGAGUCCGGGAGAGGUGAGUGGAACUGCGAGUGUAGAGGUGAAAUUCGUAGAUAUUCGCAAGAACACCAGUGGCGAAGGCGGCUCACUGGCCCGGUACUGACGCUGAGGUGCGAAAGCGUGGGGAGCAAACAGG